rnacentral:lncRNA from 1 species
UCGUGAGUGUGGUGGGGUGGGGAACCCAAGUAUCAUAAGCCACCACGAGUACAAGACCCGCCAUAGCUCGAUUAUCAUUCUAAAGUCUGGACGAGUCAAGUCUAGAGUAUAACAUGCUAGGAUCUGUGUUAUAAAUUGUCUUGCUUUUAUCAUGAUUUACUUGAGUUGAAUCUGGUAUGUGUAUGCUAUUAUAAUUGCAUGCUUUUUAUAUAAUUAGCUCACCCU